GUGGGGAAUUUUGCGCAAUGGGGGAAACCCUGACCCAGCGACGCCGCGUGAGGGAAGAAGGCCUUAGGGUCGUAAACCUCUGUUGUGUGGGAAGAAGAGCGUGACGGUACCACACGAGGAAGUCCCGGCUAACUACGUGCCAGCAGCCGCGGUAAUACGUAGGGGACGAGCGUUGUCCGGAUUUACUGGGCGUAAAGGGCGCGUAGGCGGUCAUUUAAGUCAGCUGUGAAAUGGUUUGGCUUAACCGGAUCAUGCGGUUGAAACUGGAUGACUGGAGUGCUGGAGAGGCAAGUGGAAUUCCCAGUGUAGCGGUGAAAUGCGUAGAUAUUGGGAAGAACACCGGUGGCGAAGGCGACUUGCUGGCCAGUAACUGACGCUGAGGCGCGAAAGCCAGGGGAGCAAACGGGAUUAGAUACCCUUGUAGUCC
rnacentral:rRNA from 1 species